rnacentral:lncRNA from 1 species
CACCAGCGCUGCGUCCGCACCAGCAGCUCAAACCUGAUGGGGCACACGUGUCACCGGUGUCACCAGUGUCACACGUGUCACCAGUGUCACCAGUGUCACCCGUGUCACCCGUGUCACCCGUGUCACCAGUGUCACCAGUGUCACCAAUGUCACACGUGUCACCCGUGUCACCCGUGUCACCAGUGUCACCAGUGUCACCAGUGUCACCAGUGUCACCAGCGCUGCGUCCGCACCAGCAGCUCGAACCUGACGGGGCACACGUGUCACCAAUGUCACCAAUGUCACCAAUGUCACCGGUGUCACCAAUGUCACCAGUGUCACCAAUGUCACCAAUGUCACCAAUGUCACCGGUGUCACCAAUGUCACCAGUGUCACCAGUGUCCACCAGCGCUGCAUCCGCACCAGCAGCUCGAACCUGCCGGUGCCACAACGCGGGGCACAUGGGGCACACGUGUCACCAAUGUCACCGGUGUCACCAGUGUCACCAAUGUCACCGGUGUCACCAGUGCCACCAGUGUCCACCAGCGCUGCGUCCACACCAGCAGCUCAAACCUGCCGGUGCCGUGACACGGGGCACACGUGUCACCAAUGUCACCGGUGUCACACGGGGCACCAGUGUCACCAAUGGCACCAGUGUCACCAGUAGCACACAGGGCACACGUGUCACCAGUGUCACCAAUGUCACACGUGUCACCGGUGUCACCAAUGGCACACGGGGCACACGGGGCAGCGGUGUCACCAAUGUCACCCAUGUCACUGAUGUCACCCGUGUCACCCAUGUCACCCGUAUCACCAAUGUCACCUGUGUCAUAUGUGUCACCAAUGUCCCCAAUGUCCCUGAUGUCCCCGAUGUCCCCGAUGUCCCCAAUGUCCCCGAUGUCCCCAAUGUCCCCAAUGUCCCCAGUGUCCCCAAUGUCCCUGAUGUCCCCAAUGUCCCCAAUGCCCCAGUGUCCCCAAUGUCCCUGAUGUCCCCAAUGUCCCCAACCAUCCCCGAUGUCCCCAAUGUCCCCGGUGUCCCCAAUCCCUCCCCGUUACCUGUGCGGGUUCUCCUCGUUGCCUUUGUCACUUUUGUGUUUCACCAUUUUGUAGUGGCCGAUGGAGACGGGCGGGCGGGAGAUCUUCAUCCCCGCCAGGCGCACCCUGAGGGGACAGCGGGGACACGGGUUGGGGACACCAGUGACACCCCAGGGUCACCACAGUGUCACCACAGUGUCACCAGUGACACCCCAGGGUCACCACAGUGUCACCACAGUGUCACCACAGUGUCACCAGUGA